rnacentral:rRNA from 1 species
GAGGAAGGUGGGGAUGACGUCAAGUCCUCAUGGCCUUUAUGUCCAGGGCUACACACGUGCUACAAUGGCCGGUACAAACCGCUGCAAACCCGCGAGGGUGAGCCAAUCGGAGAAAGCCGGCCUCAGUUCGGAUUGCAGUCUGCAACUCGACUGCAUGAAGCUGGAAUCGCUAGUAAUCGCGGAUCAGCAUGCCGCGGUGAAUACGUUCCCGGGCCUUGUACACACCGCCCGUCACAUCACGAAAGUGGGUUGUACUAGAAGCAGGUGAGCUAACCGCAAGGAAGCAGCCUUCCAAGGUGUGAUUCAUGAUUGGGGUGAAGUCGUAACAAGGUAGCCGUAA